GGGUUGUGAGGUUAAGCGACUAAGCGUACACGGUGGAUGCCCUGGCAGUCAGAGGCGAUGAAGGACGUGCUAAUCUGCGAAAAGCGUCGGUAAGGUGAUAUGAACCGUUAUAACCGGCGAUGUCCGAAUGGGGAAACCCAGUGCAAUUCGUUGCACUAUCGUUAACUGAAUACAUAGGUUAACGAGGCGAACCGGGGGAACUGAAACAUCUAAGUACCCCGAGGAAAAGAAAUCAACCGAGAUUCCCCCAGUAGCGGCGAGCGAACGGGGAGCAGCCCAGAGUCUGAAUCAGCUUGUGUGUUAGUGGAACGGUCUGGAAAGUCCGACGGUACAGGGUGAUAGUCCCGUACACCAAAAUGCACAGGCUGUGAACUCGAAGAGUAGGGCGGGACACGUGGUAUCCUGUCUGAAUAUGGGGGGACCAUCCUCCAAGGCUAAAUACUCCUGACUGACCGAUAGUGAACCAGUACCGUGAGGGAAAGGCGAAAAGAACCCCGGCGAGGGGAGUGAAAAAGAACCUGAAACCGUGUACGUACAAGCAGUGGGAGCACCUUCGGGUGUGACUGCGUACCUUUUGUAUAAUGGGUCAGCGACUUAUAUUCUGUAGCAAGGUUAACCGUAUAGGGGAGCCGCAGGGAAACCGAGUCUUAACUGGGCGUUAAGUUGCAGGGUAUAGACCCGAAACCCGGUGAUCUAGCCAUGGGCAGGUUGAAGGUUGGGUAACACUAACUGGAGGACCGAACCGACUAAUGUUGAAAAAUUAGCGGAUGACUUGUGGCUGGGGGUGAAAGGCCAAUCAAACCGGGAGAUAGCUGGUUCUCCCCGAAAGCUAUUUAGGUAGCGCCUCGUGAACUCAUCUUCGGGGGUAGAGCACUGUUUCGGCUAGGGGGUCAUCCCGACUUACCAACCCGAUGCAAACUACGAAUACCGAAGAAUGUUAUCACGGGAGACACACGGCGGGUGCUAACGUCCGUCGUGAAGAGGGAAACAACCCAGACCGCCAGCUAAGGUCCCAAAGUCAUGGUUAAGUGGGAAACGAUGUGGGAAGGCACAGACAGCCAGGAUGUUGGCUUAGAAGCAGCCAUCAUUUAAAGAAAGCGUAAUAGCUCACUGGUCGAGUCGGCCUGCGCGGAAGAUGUAACGGGGCUAAACCAUGCACCGAAGCUGCGGCAGCGACACUAUGUGUUGUUGGGUAGGGGAGCGUUCUGUAAGCCUGCGAAGGUGACCUGUGAGGGUUGCUGGAGGUAUCAGAAGUGCGAAUGCUGACAUAAGUAACGAUAAAGCGGGUGAAAAGCCCGCUCGCCGGAAGACCAAGGGUUCCUGUCCAACGUUAAUCGGGGCAGGGUGAGUCGACCCCUAAGGCGAGGCCGAAAGGCGUAGUCGAUGGGAAACAGGUUAAUAUUCCUGUACUUGGUGUUACUGCGAAGGGGGGACGGAGAAGGCUAUGUUAGCCGGGCGACGGUUGUCCCGGUUUAAGCAUGUAGGCUGGUU
rnacentral:rRNA from 1 species